CAGCAAGCAAAUGACCCUUGUGAUUCGACACUCAACUCAGAGUUCAGAACACAGCGGCAGACAGAGUACUUGCUGGAAGCAUUCCACCUUCAGCACCGAGCAGCUGAAACAAGGCAGAAGCUCGGCACAGUGCAGGCAGAGACCGCGAAAAGCAGCUUCGGCGAUGAGCUGCCAGCAGAAGCCAAAGUGAGCACAAGAAGAGCACUAAGUUCAGUCAGGAACAAUUUCAAGGAAAUCCAGCGAAGGCUGGAGAUUUGGCUCGCGAGAAUCCUCGGAGACCUCGAGGGCAUGCUGGCGAGGGACGGGGCAUCCCGGAUAAGAGAGUACAUUCUGUCCCCCUACGCGUCUGCUGUUCGAUGA
rnacentral:rRNA from 1 species